rnacentral:rRNA from 1 species
CCUACGGUUGGCAGCAGUGAGGAAUAUUGGUCAAUGGGCGCGAGCCUGAACCAGCCAAGUCGCGUGGGGGAGGACGGCCCUACGGGUUGUAACCCUCUUUUGCCGGGGAGCAACGGGCGCCACGUGUGGCGUCCCUGAGAGUACCCGGAGAAAAGGCAUCGGCUAACUCCGUGCCAGCAGCCGCGGUAAGACGGGGGAUGCGAGCGUUAUCCGGAUUUAUUGGGUUUAAGGGGUGCGUAGGCGGUCGGAUAAGUUAGAGGUGAAAUCCCGAGGCCCAACUUCGGAAUUGCCUCUGAUACUGUUCGGCUAGAGAGUAGUUGCGGUAGGCGGAAUGUAUGGUGUAGCGGUGAAAUGCUUAGAGAUCAUACAGAACACCGAUUGCGAAGGCAGCUUACCAAGCUACUUCUGACGUUGAGGCACGAAAGCGUGGGGAGCAAACAGGAUUAGAUACCCUUGUAGUC